GGGAAGGUGGCUCAGUGGGAGAGCACUUGCCUUGCAUGCAUGAGGCCCUGGGUUCAAUUCCUCCCUCCACA
rnacentral:tRNA from 1 species